AUUGAACGCUGGCGGCAGGCCUAACACAUGCAAGUCGAACGAGUGGCGGACGGGUGAGUAAUGUCUGGGAAACUGGCUGAUGGAGGGGGAUAACUAAUGGAAACGGUAGCUAAUAGCGCAUUCCAUCGGUUGUGCCAGGAUGGGAUUAGCUAGUGGGGGGGGUAAAGGCUCAUCUAGGCGACGAUCCCUAGCUGGUCUGAGAGGAUGACCAGCCACACUGGAACUGAGAAACGGUCCAGACUCCUACGGGAGGCAGCAGUGGGGAAGAUUGCACAAUGGGCGCAAGCCUGAUGCAGCCAUGCCGCGUGUAUGAAGAAGGCCUUCGGGUUGUAAAGUACUUUCAGCGGGGAGGCGUUACCCGCAGAAGAAGCACCGGCUAACUCCGUGCCAGCCGCCGCGGUAAUAC
rnacentral:rRNA from 1 species